rnacentral:rRNA from 1 species
GACAACCAGGAGGUUGGCUUAGAAGCAGCCACCCUUGAAAGAGUGCGUAAUAGCUCACUGGUCAAGUGAUUCCGCGCCGACAAUGUAGCGGGGCUCAAGCAAUACGCCGAAGCUGUGGCAUUCGCAUAAUAACCAGGCCUUCGUGGUCCAGGUGUGCGGAUGGGUAGGGGAGCGUCGUGUGCGCUGUGAAGCGGCGGGGUGACCCAGCCGUGGAGAGCACACGAGUGAGAAUGCAGGCAUGAGUAGCGAAUGACGGGUGAGAAACCCGUCCGCCGAAUAUCCAAGGGUUCCAGGGUCAAGCUAAUCUGCCCUGGGUAAGUCGGGACCUAAGGCGAGGCCGACAGGCGUAGUCGAUGGACAACGGGUUGAUAUUCCCGUACCGGCGAAACAACGACCCUGCCGAGGCGAGUAAUGCUAAACACGCAAGAGAUCAGGAGGACUUCGGUCUGAGUGAUCUUGAGUCUGUGACCCAAACUUGUAUUAGGCAAGCUGCGGAGGGACGCAGGAAGGUAGCCCAUCCCGGGUAAUGGUAUUCCGGGCUAAGUGCGUAGGGUGAGAUGUAGGCAAAUCCGCAUCUCGUGAAGCCUGAGACACGAUGGCGAUAAAAAGUGGGUGAUCCUAUGCUGCCUAGAAAAUCUUCGUGAGCGAGUUGUUAGCCGCCCGUACCCUAAACCGACACAGGUGGAUAGGUAGAGAAUACCAAGGCGAUCGAGAGAAUCGUGGUGAAGGAACUCGGCAAAAUACCCCCGUAACUUCGGGAUAAGGGGGACCUGAUGUGUCACGGCACUAGCUGUCGAAAGCACUGAGGGUCGCAGAGACCAGGCCCAAGCGACUGUUUACUAAAAACACAGGUCCGUGCCAAGUUGAAAGACGAUGUAUACGGACUGACUCCUGCCCGGUGCUGGAAGGUUAAGGGGAAGUGUUAGCGCAAGCGAAGCACCGAACUUAAGCCCCAGUAAACGGCGGUGGUAACUAUAACCAUCCUAAGGUAGCGAAAUUCCUUGUCGGGUAAGUUCCGACCUGCACGAAUGGAGUAACGAUUUGGGCGCUGUCUCCACCACGAACUCGGCGAAAUUGCACUACGAGUAAAGAUGCUCGUUACGCGCAGCAGGACGGAAAGACCCCGGGACCUUUACUAUAGUUUGGUAUUGGUGAUCGGUACAGCUUGUGUAGGAUAGGUGGGAGACUUUGAAGCAGGGACGCCAGUUCUUGUGGAGUCAACGUUGAAAUACCACUCUGGCUGUUCUGGUUAUCUAACCUAGGUCCAUUAUCUGGAUCAGGGACAGUGCCUGAUGGGUAGUUUGACUGGGGCGGUCGCCUCCCAAA